AUAGGCUACUGUUUGUAAUUAUAGUAAUGUUCAUUUGAAUGAUUUGUGCCUUGGCUGAUUCAAUACAAGACAAUUAAGACUGCUUUUUAGCUGUUACAAUUCCAAAUGACACAGUGCAUGUUCAAGAAUGCAUGAAAGAAAGAACACAAAAUGUAAACAUUAUUGUUAGAUCUAUAUAGUAUUUAUUUUAAAAAUAUUUUUGUUUGAACUAUUUAUCCACUGUGCAAAUGUUGCGGAACCACUAUUAUUGAUAGCUUUUUGCCACCUAUAGUAGUGGGAAUCUCC